GCCGCCGCGGCGGGAGCUCGUUCUGGUGGCUGGAGGCAGGUCCUUCUCUUUCCGCAGACCCCGCAAACUCUCCGCUCUCCGGAGCCGCUGCCUUCAGUGCGCUCAGACCCUGGAUGUUAAGGUUCGCGCGGGCGCCGACCGCUGCCGGGAGAAGCAGCGGCGCCCCCACCCAUCAUCUUCCCAAGGCUGCGCCCGGGGGCCGCCAAGACCGAAGGGCGGUUGGAGCUCGAGCGGGAGCCUGAGACGCCCUGACCUAAGCAGCCAGCGGGGGACCCGCCGCAGCUCGAGCGGCUUCCGGCCCAAAGGGAGACGCACUUGAGUGAUCGCGAGGAGCAAACUUGGCGCUCUCAGCCUCCGGCCUCGGAGAGGUGAGAGAUUCCGGCUGCGCCCCUCUCCUCCCUUCCAAGGCCGAGAUACCGCCACACGUCGUCUUUCCGCGCCCCGGGACUCCGGACGCGGGAGUGUGUGCGGGAAGACCCGGGAGCGCGUCGCCGCCGGUCGCGCUCUCCCCGACGCUUCUCUGCGGCGCUCUGGCCGCACUCCCGGAGCCCGGACCGAGCCAUCGCCCUGAGUUUGCCUGUACUCCGCCCUUUUCCGUCUCUGUAUCCGUUUGUCUUGGGCCCAGUGACUCUGUCUCUCGCCUUCAGUGAAUCUCUGCCUCCGUUUCCAGUGGAAACCCUGCGUUUGUCUGGGGGUCUCUAGGGGUCCGAGAAUCCCUCGUUCGAUUUCCCCCACUCCUAGUCGCACUGCAGGGCUGCUCCCCCUUUCUGGCCGGCCCCGGACCCGCAGGCUCUACGGACCAGCAGCAGGACUCCCACAGAGACCUUCCUCAGUGAACCCUGACCUCAGCCCUGGGCCAGCGUUGCCUCAUCUCAGGAUCCUGUGCACACAAGAGCAGAUCAGCUCUUAGCAGCUGGGACUGCCCAUCACAACUCCAUUCCAAGCCCCCCUACAAUGGGGCAGCUACCAAGAGCUGCCAAGAACGGAGGAGGACGGGAGACCUGGGAGCACUUUCCAGGAGAGGUGGUAACUGCAGCAAGAUUUCCUCUUCUACGCUAAGCAACUGGGUUCCCCACUGGAGCAAGUGACUUUCAGCCACCAGAAGCCCCUCCCAGCCCAAAAUAGCAUCCAGAUGGAUCCUGGCUUCCUUCCCCAGGUUUCCUGCUCAAAUCAGAUGUGCAAAAUUUCCUUGACAAUUUACCUCAACUGAAACAAAGAAAUAAGCCAAGAAAAAAGAUGUGGAAUCCAGAAAGCAGAGAAGUCAGCCCCGGAUAGAAAUGGAGGGAUUCCAAGGAAUCCCAAGGAUUACACUGAUGGGAAGUUUCAGGUCCAUAUCUGUGCAGCAGGCAUGGAGAGCAAUCAGCUCAGACUGGGUCUAGAAGACAGAAUUCUAGGAGAAAUGCUCCCAGGAAAAGAAGAAUACAACCAGCAAAAGCAAUGACAGAUUUCCUGAUAAGUGAGACCUUGUGAAAAAGCAUACCCCACUGACUUUGGAAGAUACAGGAAGAUUCAGCCAUAGGGACAAAAAAAGCUAGGCAAGUGAAAAAAAUAAGGCAUUGACUCCAGGAAAAGUUAGAAGUUGCACCAAAAAACAAAACAAAACAAAACAAAAAAACUGUAGUCAUGGUGCACUACCAGCUUAUCUGAAAAACAAUAUAUAGUAAUAAAAUGUAAAUGCUAAAAGCUGAUGGUUUGGGCAGGGAUGGAAAGAAAUAACGAUUUUAGAGGUAGGCAAUUAUUGUAAUGGGAAGUUAAUCAUUACUGUUUGAAGAAAACAGAAAUGUGGAAGUAUAUUCCAAAAGAGACAAAUAGGAAUUCAAAGUAGAUGCUUCUAGGGAACAAAACAGGGAUCCUGAGAGUAGGCAAGCCGCUCUCCCAGGCCUUUGCGGUUUGACUUGUUAGAUUAUAUGCUUGUUUCAGUUUAAUAAAAACAAAAAUUAAGUCUCAAAA